GGUUGUAUGGAGUAGUGGUCAACUUAGGAGAUUUUGAAGCGCAGCAGGCCUGCUUGCAUCCGAAUUUCUCUUGCCCCGGGUUCGAAUCCCGGUACGACCU